UAACGAAUCUUCCGCAAUGCACGCAAGUGUGACGGAGCGACGCCGCGUGUGGGACGAAGCCCUUCGGGGUGUAAACCACUGUCAGGGGUUAGAAAGUUCUGAUCGACCCCAGAGGAAGGCACGGCUAACUCUGUGCCAGCAGCCGCGGUAAGACAGAGGUGCCGAGCGUUAGGCGGAAUCACUGGGCUUAAAGCGUGUGUAGGCGGAUCGUUAAGUGUCUUGUGAAAUCCCAUGGCUUAACCAUGGAACUGCUGGACAUACUGGCGAUCUUGGGUCACCUAGGGGCAGCCGGAACAAAUGGUGGAGCGGUAAAAUGCGUUGAUAUCAUUUGGAACGCCAAUGGCGAAAGCAAGCUGCUGGGGGUGCACCGACGCUGAGACACGAAAGCCAGGGGAGCAAACGGGAUUAGAUACCCCCGUAGUCC
rnacentral:rRNA from 1 species